rnacentral:lncRNA from 1 species
GGAUAAGAACCCCUUCCCCUCCCUUGUCCAAGUGUGUGCUCACCAUUGCUCCAUCUGUAAGGGUGUACCCUUCUGUAGAAGUACCUUGCCUUGCUGAGAAUUAAAAAGAAAAUUUUAUAUUCGAGUACUAGUUCUUUUGCAGCACCGAAACUUUAUUUAUAACAAUUUGGGGCCUCACCGGUGAUUACAUUAUCCUCCGGGGGCGGUCUCUGGUUCUCUCUUCUGAGGAGACAUGCCCCGCCCCCUUGUGGCGGCCUCGGGGGUGAGAACUCAAGACCCACUCAGUGCGAGGAAUAACCGCAGCUCUCAGCAACGCGCAGGGGAGGGGCUGGGGGGAGGGACUGGCCAGCAACCUAGCUUAAAGGAUCCUCAUAGACUGCAGCGACGAUUCUGUGCACAGACUAAGGAAGGAGAAGCUGCAGGAACCGUUUCCUGAGUUGCAAGUUUAGGCUCUUGGCUGUAAACAGUUCUUCUUUCCUAAUAUUUCAAACAUUUCAUUGAAGGAGAUCAAGAAAAUUAAUUACUGAUCAAGAGCCCACCUAAACUUGCAAGAAAACAAGCUUAUGUUACUAUAGAAGAAUGAGAGAUCACCUGGGCAAAUAUAAGACAUUUUAGAUGAUCCAUAAUAGAAUUACUAACCUCCAGUCUGUCUGCCAGCUCCACAAAGACACAAGAGCAAACCCAGAAAUUCUGAGAACCUUCCUUGAAAUCAUUGAACAGCAAAUGAACAAGCUGUUGCCAACCUGGGGUAGAAGACAGCAGAAUUCCAGCAAGUUUCCUGAAUGGAUUCCCAUUCACUGCUCUUGUUAAGCUGUGGAAUCCAUGUGGCCAGACCUAUGAUUGCUGUUUUUCUUCUCUUUGGCCAGGACUUGGGAGAGCUCUGGUAAGAGACAGGGAAACCUUUCCUUUCCCCUUCCCAGGGACUCAGUAAAUAUGCAGGCACCACAGCCAGGGUAUUCAUUGAUCAGAUGUACAUCCCUCCUCCACAACAGACAAAUUGAUCACUCUGGAUCACCAAGAAGAUCUACGUUGUUUACAUAAUAACAAUAGUGGGGUUUAUUACAGUGUAAUAUUGUAAUGACUUUUUGUCCAGGAAACUUGUGAACAUCCCAUUUUUAUCCACAAACUGUUAUUCUUUCCUGCAAGGUCCCCAAGGGAAGUAUACACACAAUAUAAUUAAAACACAACAAAGAAGCAUUCUACUGUGCGUUUACCAUACACUCUAAAGUGGAAUUUCAAGACACUAAGCGAAAGCAUACUUUAUUUUAAAUGUUAGAUAUGCUGGUAUGUUUUGUACAAUCAAAUACUUAUGAGACCUGUUCUCUCCAUUUGUCCUAGUGAGGCAGGAAAUUAAAGAAAAAUAAAAUUAAAAAGAGAAAUAAGUUUUCCUGUAUUAGGCUAACUUGUCCCAGGCAGCAACAGGCACAGCCCAGACCCAGGAAAAUUCUUGCUAAUAUUAUCUAAUGUGCUCUGGAGGCUCUCCCAGCAUUCCCUCAACAUACGGAGAAGAAAAACCAAAUUUUCCUUUAUUUUAUGGAAUGAGUUUAUAGAUUCCUGUUCUCUGUAACUAGUGACUUCAAGUAUUGUUUUAUCUAAGAAGUACAACGAAGGUCAUGAGAAGCCUGAGUAGGCCUGAACUACAGCUGCCUGGGCACCAUAGUGAAGGUUAUGGGAUAAGCCCGUGCCUAGGCAAACCUAGAUAACGGACAUCUGGGUUGCAUAGCAAUGGUUAUGUGCAAUCCUACGUUAUACACCUGUUACAAUUUGAUUAACUGUCUUUGUCCUGCCUCUGUAUCCCUGCUUUCACACCACUGUAAGCUUGCUUCAAGCUAGCCGACCCCCUUUUCUAAAGUGUAUAUAAAAGUCAAGUGCUGUCUUUGUUCUGGGCCCAGUCUUUGGACGUGAGUCUGCUGGGCCUGAGUGCACUCAAUAAAAGGUUCUCCUGUUUUAACCCGAGACCUCUCUUGUCCUCCUGGAUCCCGCAACAAUAGAGCCAAAAUCUUGGUCGUUGAAUUUUCUCCUUUAAUGGGACAAAGUCUUCAGGGGCCACCACUUCUCA